rnacentral:rRNA from 1 species
UACAGAGGUGGCAAGCGUUGUUCGGAAUUACUGGGCGUAAAGGGCGCGUAGGCGGCCUUCUAAGUCGAACGUGAAAUCCCCGGGCUCAACCCGGGAACUGCGUCCGAUACUGGAAGGCUUGAAUCCGGGAGAGGGAUGCGGAAUUCCAGGUGUAGCGGUGAAAUGCGUAGAUAUCUGGAGGAACACCGGUGGCGAAGGCGGCAUCCUGGACCGGUAUUGACGCUGAGGCGCGAAAGCCAGGGGAGCAAACGGG